AGGUUUCGCAUACUUAUCAAUUCAUAUUCUUUUAUAAUAAUACUAAGCAUUCACACAUCCGCAUACUCAUGCGGAUAUCUGUUGCAGCGUCUUGCAAAGCUUCCUGUUGCAUACGGCAGGAUGUUCCUUUCGCCUGCCAAUUAUCUCACCUCACCAGCACGGUAACAACGUUGUUCAAUGAACAGCUAAAUUAAAGCUUGCGUAGCGCUACGGAGUAAGAAACCUGCAUUUUUCUUGUAAGCCGUCUGAUUCGGCGCCAAACCAAGCUCCCCGUCGGUCUGUCCGUUGUGCACAGUAUCUUGCGACCUGGAACUACCUCAACAAACGGCUCUGAAUUUGAUCUUCCAAAUGUUUCUUACAUACAUGAAGGCUGAAAGCAUCGUACCUGGGGACUUCGUGGAGCCCUGAUAGCUGACUAGGGCUGACAUACCCAGGUGGGCGUUCGCUGCGUUCGCUAGCUUUGGGACAUUACCUCCAGAAUAACUCUCGUCUAACGACGGAGCCUUUGAUUCACGUACCUACGGAUGCGCGGAUUACCAACUAGGUGGUGAAACCCAUCGCUCUUUCUAGGGUAUAUCGGGAGCAUGCGCGGUAUGUGGGCGUCCGUGCACGGGCGCGCUCGCCUUCUCAGCGGUACGCGUGCGUGCAUCAAUGCCAGCAGUUCGCCUGUAUGUGCCUUUAGCUCUACACACGAAUGGAACACGUUGUUGGAGCGCCUUGAGGAUGAUCAUCCUACUUUGCUAGGCGUAUACACGGGACGCAGUGACGUGGCAGAUCCCCCAAAGGGAUGAUGAGGGAGGAAGAGGGAAGAUGUCGCCUAAUAUAGCAGUGAUAACGGCGCAUCGCCUGCAGGCAGUCACGCAAGGAGGUGCACGCGCCAUGGGACCAACCAGCAGAAUCAAUCAGUACAGAUCACAUGUGUACAUUUGGUUGUUGAGGACAUUUACGAAAACUAACGUAGAGUAUAUGGCGGGUGCAAAUCGUCUUCACCGCACCCGCCAAUCAUCUUCUGCGCACCGUUCAUUUAGAAGGAUUUAAUACUCAAGAUCUUUCAGAUGAUAUCACCUCGGCGGUUCCACGCUCGACGUUGAUGUUGAUGUAACGGACGUGGACCGGCAGGAGGACCCCAGAAAUGGAAAAGAUGCGAAGCAAAUAAGGAAAUUACUGCCGGUUGUAUGGCAGUUGCUUCUCCAACCGUUGACAACAGCAGCUGAUAGCUAGUCAAAAGCGAAGGCUCACGGAAAGAUGAGCACGGGCAAAUUAGCGAAUAGCCCGACAACAAGCACGAGCAUGGUUCGAGCCGGGCCGGUAGAGAGACAUGCAUGCAAAGGUAGGUGGAUUGAAACAUGCAUGUAUAUACGUAGGAAGGAGCACAUAAGUCGUUACGUCUGAAUUGGGUUUCGCUUGUCAGUUCGAAUGCGCUGUCGUGAAUUGAGAACACCGCCGCUGAUGUACGGGAACGACUACUUUGCCGGCAUCAGCACAUCUUAAGUUACCCGCUCCGACUGACUCGUCAGGAGCCCCCAUGGGCUGCCCGAGAACCAAGGCCCCACCUACUUUUCCCACCCAAAACGAUGUUAAGGUGUCGCGUCAUACGACUGUAGCAUUGCAAAACAUGUGCGUACAUGGCGCUAUAAUGUCGUGACGAAGGAGUAGUUUAUGAACAUAGGGACCCGGCCAUACAUGUCCAAGCCGUCGCACUUUAGGCCUUGCCCCCAUAUGCUUAAGGUGUAGAGGGGAGAGUUGCCCGCAAGUAAGCUGGGUCUUACCCGCAUACGUUCGGGUAGCUUAGCUUGCUACCUCGUCACCGACCAUGCUCUGCGCACAGCAACCCAUAGGAUCGAAACCCGGCUGUAAAGUACGGCAUGUACCGCAUGACCUGUCGCAUGUUGCGUUUAUGACGCCAUCGACAAAACGUGCGCUUUACCUGGGAUGGGAGCGAGAAUGUGGAUGGCGAAAUGCUAGAGGACGACGGUGGGGCGGCUACCGACAUAUAUACUGACGACACAUAUACUUACAGGGCACACUGCAGGACCGACAUGUCGUUCGCACGUUGCCGGAACUUAGAGCACGAUGCCAAGAAAGGCAAGAUGCUCAACAUGUAUGUGGGGUUCCCAGUGGUUUGCCGCCGGAUGGAGCCGUAGGUUGCAUGACCGCUAUCGCCGGAGGAGAUCUACAGGAGGAUAUGGCGGUCUGAUCACAUGCCUCGGCUGUCGGCCGACAUGAGAAUCCCCUUGAGCCCUCGGCUCGUAUUGGGCGGUUUGCAGGUACGGGGAACGCACCCCACGACCAUGUAACACACACAUACAUGAGAAUCCGGCCUACCAACCGACUCAACUCAGUCUGGGAUUGUGCACAUCGAAGUCCUGUGAAGUAACUAAGAUAUGAGUUUUCUAACAAGGAAAGUUUGCGGAAGGUGGAUCUCAUCAUGCGAUGAGAGUGAGUGCGAUAAAUCGCUUGGAGCUGCGGCGAUUGGAUUGGAUCUUGGAGGUUGUUGGUCUUUGCAUGAACGGCGCAGGAUUUGGAGCAUCAUUUCGGCUGUAGUUGACAUGCGGCUUUGUUAUUGCGUCAGUCGGUCGGAGCGUGGCCUUCCUGCUGACAGCCGUAGCCUAGCCUGCGGCCAAAAUAAAUUCGUUGCCGCAGUUAUGCGAGCGGACAUAGGUGUACGGACAUAGGUGUGCGGACAUAGGUGUACGGACAUAGGUGUGCGGACAUAGGUGUACGGACAUAGGUGUGCGGACAUAGGUGUGCGGACAUAGGUGUACGGACAUAGGUGUACGGACAUAGGUGUGCGGACAUAGGUGUACGGACAUAGGUGUGCGGACAUAGGUGUACGAGUGCGCACGCGGCAGUCUGCAUUCGGCUUGGUUUCCUUGCCGGUGACUUGCACUGUACCCCCUGUUGCCAUUCUGAGGUUCAAAUUUGAUAAAUGCUCCCAGUUCUUUUGUUACCGGCAAUUCAUUCUUGUCUGCCAAUAUCUGUUGUAUAUAGGCAAGUUAUAACAAGUUAUGUUGACGCUGCAACGUGUUGUUGCCAGCAGGUCUUGCUCCUAUGAUUCAAGGAGUACCCGUACCCGUUCGACGCAGGGAAGUACAGCUACAACCCUGCCGUCCUUUGCCUGGAGGCCUAGUUUUAUUAAUGGGCACUGUCAAAGACGAAUCGGCUUCGGAUUGAAAAGGACACAGCUAAACCUGUCGUCACCCCAUCCGGCGGCUGCCUACCAAGAAGUACCGAAGUAUACGAUAGCCUUUAAUAAGUUAAAAAGCUGUCUUUAAUAAAUAAAAAGGCUGUUAUCAACAAUGUUAAAUAGUUGGUACAUAAUGCAGCCAAGCUUGGCUAAACGAGAUGCAACUACCAUCGGCGAGAAAUGUAACGGAGCCGCAAAAUUUUGAACAAUU
rnacentral:lncRNA from 1 species